CAAUAUAUUUUCAGUUGGCUCCCGAUUGCUUGCAAAACGUGUACCUUGACAGAUAUCGAGUUCUGCAAUCUAGGAGCCUAUACAUGUAAAAGAUUUCUAUUUUCAGUUUGUUCAGAAACUGAACACUUCUGGUAUAGGUCUCUUUAAAUUUUGACCAUUAUACUUGGAUACUGAAAAAAAA